AUCAAAAAAAAAAAUCGUCUCAAUCGGACAACCGAGCGAAAAGUUAUGGCCUUUCAAAGUUUUCGAAGCUAAAAUACAUAAACUGUUGAUGAAUUACUAAUUCAAAACUCACCGUUUCAAUUGUUUCCACCACGCACCGUUUCAAUUGAUUUUACAGAUCCCGCCUCUAAUCCUCCCAAAAUUUGACAUCCCUCCAACUCUACACAACGAUUCAAAAUGUUUUCCUUUUUCUUUUAUUUUUCAUUCUUUUCUGUUUGUCAAUUUCCUUUGUAGGAUUUUAUGUUACGUUAUUUCUGCUAUUUCAUUCCUUUAAGCUGUUUCUAUAUGAGAUUUUCUUAAGGUUCAUAAGUGUUUCAUUCUUGGAAUUUUUCCGAGUGUUCGGUUCUCUCCUACGGUAGCCAUAGGAUCAGUACCUGUUAUAUUCGGAGGAGCCAAAUGUUGAUUGUGUCGGUGGAUGAACGGUGAUUCGUUGAAUUUCCGGUUAAACUACCUUUUCAGUGGUGAAGUGCUCUUUUCUCUCCAUCACGUUUGCUGUAGGUUAUGGUGUUUUACUGAUGUUUCAUGGCCCAUGACGAAAAGGAGAGAAUGAUCAUGGCUGAAAUGAUAUGGACAUACCUAAUUAAGACCCGAAACAUGGCCCAGCCCACCUUUACCGCUGCGUAAAGUCAGUGGCUUGCCCUUCUCCCAAGUUUUCCCCAAAAUAAAACUCUUGCUCUCUUGCUCUUGCUCCACCGUCCGAAAGCGCUUGAGGUUAGUCUUUCUUCUUCUUUUUUAAAUUUAUUUAUUUGCUUCGUCAAUGUUCUUGUUUCGGUCUGUAACGAUGCUUAAAUCUUUUUUGAAAUUUAAGCAACUGUCCACUGAAAGAAGGUUUCACACUGUCGCUUCCGACUUGAAAAUGGCGGUUGAUUUAUCUAUAUUUUUGCUCCAUUACAUGAUCGGGAACUUAAGGGUUCCUGCUUUAGGGUUUUUCUAUCGUUUAAUUUUGGGAUAAUUGAUGAGUAUGUUUAAGGGAUGAGAGAAAAGAAUUUAAAAGAAA